rnacentral:rRNA from 1 species
ACGGCUCAGUAACACGUGGCUAACCCACCCUUGAGACGGAGAAAACCCCGGGAAACUGGGGUUAAUCUCCGAUAAGAGAAGACCCCUGGAAUGGGUCUUCUCUCAAAGGGCGCCUAGACCAUGCUUCUAGGCGUUGCUCAAGGACGGGGCCGCGGCCGAUCAGGUUGUUGGUGAGGCAACGGCUCACCAAGCCUAUAACCGGUACGGGCCGUGAGAGCGGGAGCCCGGAGAUGGGCACUGAGACAAGGGCCCAGGCCCUACGGGGCGCAGCAGUUGCGAAAACUCCGCAAUGCACGAAAGUGUGACGGGGCUACCCCGAGUGCCGUCCGCUGAGGGCGGCUUUUCCCCGGUGUAAGGAGCCGGGGGAAUAAGGAGAGGGCAAGUCUGGUGUCAGCCGCCGCGGUAAUACCAGCUCUCCGAGUGGUAGGGAUGAUUAUUGGGCUUAAAGCGUCCGUAGCCGGCCCGGCAAGUCUUCCGUUAAAUCCAACGAUUCAAUCGUUGGACUGCAGGAGAUACUGUUGGGCUAGGGGGCGGGAGAGGCCGACGGUAUUCUCGGGGUAGGGGUAAAAUCCUAUAAUCCCGGGAGGACCACCAGUGGCGAAGGCGGUCGGCUAGAACGCGCUCGGCGGUGAGGGACGAAAGCUGGGGGAGCGAACCGGAUUAGAUACCCGGGUAGUCCCAGCUGUAAACGAUGCGGGCUAGGUGUUGGGGCGGCUACGGGCCGCUUCAGUGCCGCAGGGAAACCAUUAAGCCCGCCGCCUGGGGAGUACGGCCGCAAGGCUGAAACUUAAAGGAAUUGGCGGGGGAG